CCAGCACCCGCGGUAAUUCCUGCUCCAAUAGCGUAUAUUAAAGUUGUUGCGGUUAAAAAGCUCGUAGUUGGAUUUCUGCUGAGGACGACCGGUCCGCCCACUGGGUGUGCAUCUGGCUCGGCCUGGGCAUCUUCUUGGAGAACGUGUCUGCACUUCACUGUGUGGUGCGGUAUCCAGGACUUUUACUUUGAGGAAAUUAGAGUGUUUCAAGCAGGCACACGCCUUGAAUACAUUAGCAUGGAAUAAUAAGAUAGGACCUUGGUUCUAUUUUGUUGGUUUCUAGAACUGAGGUAAUGAUUAAUAGGGACAGUUGGGGGCAUUAGUAUUUCGUUGUCAGAGGUGAAAUUCUUGGAUUUACGAAAGACUAACUUAUGCGAAAGCAUUUGCCAAGGAUGUUUUCAUUAAUCAAGAACGAAAGU
rnacentral:rRNA from 1 species